rnacentral:tRNA from 1 species
GUGGACGUAGCUCAGUUGGUAGAGCCCUGGAUUGUGGUUCCAGCUGUCGCGGGUUCAAAUCCCGUCGUCCACCCCA